rnacentral:rRNA from 1 species
GUAGUAAGUUACGGACGGGGCCCGCACAAGCGGUGGAGUAUGUGGUUAAUUCGACGCAACGCGCAGAACCUUACUAGGCUUGACAUCCCGGGAAUUUGCUGGAAACAGUGAAGUGCUUUCAUUAGAAAGAGCCCGGUGACAGGUGCUGCAUGGCUGUCGUCAGCUCGUGUCGUGAGAUGUUGGGUUAAGUCCCGCAACGAGCGCAACCCUCGCCUUUAGUUGCCAGCAUUCAGUUGGGCACUCUAAAGGGACUGCCGGUGUCAAACCGGAGGAAGGUGGGGAUGACGUCAAGUCCUCAUGGCCUUUAUGUCUAGGGCUACACACGUACUACAAUGGCAGGUACAAAGGGCAGCCACUUAGCGAUAAGGAGCGAAUCCCGUAAAACCUGUCUCAGUCCGGAUUGGAGUCUGCAACUCGACUCCAUGAAGUUGGAAUCGCUAGUAAUCGUAGAUCAGCACGCUACGGUGAAUACGUUCCCGGGCCUU